AUGUCCUACAUAAAGAUCUAGCAAAGGGCACCAAGAUGGAAUGGACAGGCAGGAAGAACAGAAGCAGAAGAGCAUGGUACUAUAAAACCUUAAGAUGAGAGAAUAUCUAGAAGAGGAUGUCAAUAGUGGUGAAGCCUGCAGAAAGAUCUUCCAAGAAAGAAGAAACAAAAGGUACUCUGAGUCAAGGGAGCUGUUGCAAAAGCAGGCAGCUCCGAGGAUUCCCCAAGGUAAAGCCUCCGUGGCUGGAGCAGAGACAUGGCGAGGGCUUUUCUUAGCUUGACAUUUCAAAGUCAUGUCUUACUCUGCAAAAGGUCUGACUCCAAGGCAGGGUUCAGGAGCAUGGUUCUUCUGCUGAGGAAAAGCACCUGACCUGAAUUCAUAAUUAUCACAUCCUCAGCUAAUCCAAUGAGUUUAGGAAAGGCCAAUAUUGAAUACUUCAAGGUACAGUACUUUCUGUUGCAGCCCAAGUGUUUGGGAAGCCUGCGCACUGUCUCCGCCUUAGGACUCCAAGAGCUGACACAUCUUCAUGUGCCUAUAUCAGUAAAAAGGGCCUGGCUAUUCAACAGCCCAGAUACUUAGGUACGAACACAAAAAUA